rnacentral:rRNA from 1 species
AUGUUGGGCACCAUGGAGUCACGGAUGGAUCAGUACGAGAUUAUGGAGCAGAUUGGCCGCGGCGCCUUUGGUGCCGCCAUUCUGGUGAACCACAAGACCGAGAAGAAAAAGUAUGUGCUGAAGAAGAUCCGGCUCGCGAGGCAGACAGAGAGGUGCCGCAAGUCUGCUCAUCAAGAGAUGGCCCUUAUUGCCCGCCUUCAACAUCCUUACACUGUUGAAUUCAAGGAGGCAUGGGUUGAGAAGGGUUGCUACGUUUGCAUUGUGACGGGAUACUGCGAAGGUGGCGAUGUGGCUGAACUGAUGAAAAAGGCAAAUGGGACAUACUUCCCGGAAGAGAAACUGCUGAGAUGGUUUGCUCAAUUGGCUCUAGCUGUUGACUACUUGCAUUCGAACUAUGUUUUGCACCGGGACCUCAAGUGCUCAAACAUAUUUCUCACAAAAGAUCAUGACAUCCGUCUUGGGGAUUUUGGCCUUGCUAAGACCUUAAAGGCAGAUGAUCUAACAUCUUCAGUUGUGGGAACACCAAAUUACAUGUGCCCAGAGCUUCUUACUGACAUUCCUUAUGGAUUCAAGUCAGACAUAUGGUCUCUUGGAUGUUGUAUGUAUGAGAUGGCUGCUCAUCGACCUGCUUUCAAGGCUUUUGAUAUGGCUGGACUGAUAAGCAAAAUAAAUCGCUCCUCCAUUGGCCCUAUACCUACUUGCUACUCUCCAUCUAUGAAAAUGCUUAUCAAAAGCAUGUUGAGGAAGAAUCCUGAACACCGGCCUACUGCAUCUGAUAUUCUGAAAAAUCCAUACCUGCAACCUUAUGUUGAUCAGCACCGCGCAUUUACCGCUGUACCGCAUCCCAUGCGAUCACCAGGGAAAUCCAUUACCAGUUCACGGAGCAGUCGGAGGAGCAUGUCUGGGAGCCAAUGUAGCAGCAUUUCUGGCACUGGCAGUGAUUUGGACAGUAUACAAUCAAGUGAAAGAAACACGUCAGGGCUAGCUACAAGUUCAAACAACACCGCCAUUGGUACUGAAGGUGCUGAAGCUACUGAUGAUGCGUCAGUUAAAACCUGUUCAACACCACGUGAUCUUAAAAGCCAUAAGGACAUAGAUAGUCCUGAACUGGAGAGACAAGACUCACCUAAAUCCAUACAUGUUGAUCAGCGUCCCAAAUACGGGAGUAAGCAGCCAAAAAUCAUCAAGAAGAUACUAACAACUCUAAGAGAGGAGACUAGUAAGCUCAGGGUAAACAAUUCACCUUUGAGAGCUAGCCGUGUAAAGCUACAUUCACCUAGUCACAGAGAGCUCUUGUCUGAUGAUUCAGAGCAUAACAGUGUUUCCUCCAGUGUGAAAUCUAGUGAAGUGACGCCACAUGCACCAGCAAAGGUCAACCGCGAUACUGUGAAACACAUACAAGCAUCUCCUCCCCUGAAGUAUUUGUCACCAAUUGUUGAACAUUCUCCAAAAGUUAAGAUCAAAGUGGAUGAGCCGCAGCAGCUAGACCCUACCAAGCAGACAAUUGAAAAUGUUGAUGCCGCUGAAGGGAAAGUCAAGAAUAGGGUUCUACCCAGUUUUAGUAGACGCCCUAGCUUCCCUCCCCGGAGGCAAGUGGGAGCAGAGAGUCCACAGCACACUGGGACAAAACGAGCUCACAGCAAGGUUACCACUGAGCAUGCAAAAAGCCCUUCUCGACCUGUCCAUAGUCCAAAAAAUGCUUUCACUGAGCUUCCAGGUGUUCUAAUGGCUCCUCCAAGCCCCCUGGGGGGUAAUCAAAUGAAAGUUGGCAAUUCACAGGCGGAAUGUGCUCCACCCAGAGAUGUAGCAACCAAAGAAGUUAGCAGUGCUUGCUCCAGUUCCAUGAUUGAUUAUGCUGACAGCACCAAGCAGUCUGAACCAUCUGAACCUGAUUCACUAACCCACUUGGAUUCAUCUUGCAAAUGCUCAACCCUGGACACAGCCAUACAAAAGCAUGAUCAAACUGAUAUGCCAAGCUCAGAGCUCAACACCACCAAUUUUCAGAAGAGUAUGCCUAGUAAUGAUGAUAGUAGUGUAAGCUCAGGCUUGGACCCAUCUGUUGAUACAAAUGUGCAAGAAUUUAUUUGCAAGGAUGAUAUUCCCUGCAGUAAGACGGUGCAGAGCACUCCCACUAUCACUGUACAGAGUGAGGAGGAUAAGUUCACAGUACAAGAACUGCUCUCAUCAGUACCAUAUAUUGCUCCUGAUGAUUCAGCAACAAAAACCAUUGCACUAGACAAAGGAUCCAAUUCUAUCCAUCAGUCAUCAGAGAAAUCACCAGGUCCUCAUUCGGGCCCUCCAGUUGAGGACAUUAUACAUGUCAUAAGGCCCAGCAGUUUCAGCGUCAGCGAUGAGCAGGCAGUAACACGGAAUGCUGAAAUGGAAGCCCAGAGCACAGAUGUUGGCGAACUUGGCGAUGUUAUAAAAGAAGAAGUGGAUGUGAGAAGCAUCACACCAAGUCUUAUACCUUCCGGACUUGUUGGUUCUGCCACUGUGAAGCCCAACAUUUCAGAAGAUAAUACCAUCGGUCCGAAACUCGCCAAUUCAGAUGUGCUAAAAUUGCCCGCUGUCCCAGAAGCAAAUUCUACUUCUCCGGAGACCAACGGUGGGUUCAAGGAGGAGGCGACCCCAGCAAAGGAAAUACCGGCAACCUCAGCAAAGGAAAUGCUUGAUGUUAAGUCCUUCAGGCAACGAUCCGAGGCUCUUGAAGGGCUCUUGGAGCUUUCUGCUGAUCUGCUGGAAAACAACAGGUUGGAGGAGCUUGCGGUGGUUCUGAGGCCGUUUGGGAAGGCGAAGGUGUCGCCGCGAGAAACGGCCAUCUGGUUGGCCAGAAGUUUUCAAGGGAUGAUGAAUGAUGAAGCGAGUCGCAGCUCAACGUGA